AGGCCGAGAUGUCCUACUUCUAAGUGGUUCUUUGCGAGGCAAAAGCUUCAUUGCCAGCGCAGUCCGAGGCAGCGCCGCGUGAAGGACCGGCCGGGUCGGGCACGGGGACCUCUCCAAGGGGUCUCCAGCCUCCGCGCACUCUGCGGUGGCCCCCGGAGGGGGAAACUCUAUCCUGGCAGCUCAGUGGGGGGAAGCGCGUCGGGGCUGUGGGUUCCUUCCCCCGAGACCCCAGCGCUGCACCCUCGAGGCGGCAGGCUCAGUCAACCCUCCCCGGGGGACGGCGGCCCUCUAGCCAGGCGACCUCAGGUCUCGCGCCCUCCCACCGCUCAACCUCCUCGCUUCACCCCCAUUCAUUCUUCCUCAGCGGCUCCUAGGACGGGCUCAAAAACCAACUCCACACGCAACCCAGCCCACGUCGCAGAGCUGAGGAGCAGGGCUGGGUUCGGAGCGGGCGCCGGCGCCCCCGGCGCGUGGCUGGGAGUUAGCGGCCGCGGGGGGCGCCGCGAGCCGCCCGUGCCCGCCGCGGAUGAACAGGAGGCCGCGAGCAGCCCCCGAAGCCGCGCAGCAUCCGCGUAUCCAGUGACGGCGGAAGCCACGCCCGCUCGAGAGCCUGGGGGCUGUCCUCGCCCCCCCCCACCUUUCCCCUCCCUCCGACCCCCUCCCGGCCGCGCUCCCUCCCCUCCUCCCGCGCCAGCCCCCGGCCCGCCCCCGGCUCGGCUCGCUGGAGGCGCUGGGCGCCGGGGCUGGCGCGCUCUCCCGGGCUCACACAGAGCCGCGCACGCACGCCCGGGGCCGCUCUCCGCGCCGGCCCUCGCUCCCCGCUCCCAUGCCGACGGACAGAGCGACGGAAGAUGGCUGACGACUCCACGGGGCCCCGAGGAUGCGGCCCGGCGGCGGCGGCGGCGGGAGCGGCAGCGGCAGCGAGGGCGGCAGGGGCAGCGGCAGCAGCGGCGGCGUUGGCUGCGGCGGCGGCGGCGGCGGCGGCAGCAGGAGCCGGAGCGGCGGCGGCGGCAUCCCCGAGACUCUUCGAACUACCCUUCCCCGUGA
ensembl:lncRNA